GUCUGAUUAGCUGGUUGGCGGGGUAACGGCCCACCAAGGCGACGAUCAGUAGCCGACUUGAGAGAGUGAUCGGCCACAUUGGGACUGAGACACGGCCCAAACUCCUACGGGAGGCAGCAGUGGGGAAUAUUGCACAAUGGGGGAAACCCUGAUGCAGCGACGCCGCGUGACUGAAGAAGUACUUCGGUAUGUAAAGGUCUAUCAGCAGGGAAGAGAAUGACGGUACCUGACUAAGAAGCCCCGGCUAACUAC
rnacentral:rRNA from 1 species